UACGAAGGGGGCUAGCGUUGUUCGGAAUUACUGGGCGUAAAGCGCAUGUAGGCGGCUAUUCAAGUCGGGGGUGAAAUCCUGGGGCUCAACCUCAGAACUGCCUUCGAUACUGUUUAGCUCGAGUGUGGAAGAGGUUGGUGGAACUGCAAGUGUAGAGGUGAAAUUCGUAGAUAUUUGCAAGAACACCGGUGGCGAAGGCGGCCAACUGGUCCAUUACUGACGCUGAGAUGCGAAAGCCAGGGGAGCGAACGGG
rnacentral:rRNA from 1 species